CAGUCGCCGCGGGAAUACGAAGGGUGCAAGCGUUAAUCGGAAUUACUGGGCGUAAAGCGUGCGUAGGCGGUGAGUUAAGUCUGCUGUGAAAUCCCCGGGCUCAACCUGGGAAUGGCAGUGGAUACUGGCUCGCUAGAGUGUGUCAGAGGAUGGUGGAAUUCCCGGUGUAGCGGUGAAAUGCGUAGAGAUCGGGAGGAACAUCAGUGGCGAAGGCGGCCAUCUGGGACAACACUGACGCUGAGGCACGAAAGCGUGGGGAGCAAACAGGACUAGAUACCCCCGUAGUCCCUGUCUCUUAUAC
rnacentral:rRNA from 1 species